CGCGCUACCUCUUUCUUAUAAACAACAACAAUGCGCAUAAAGAUAGUCCCAGAGAGUUUCCAAUGUUAGAAACCUAUACUAUGCGUUACUCUUCUGCUUCGAGUCACAGACUCUGUUAAUUUUUUUGUAACCAACACUAGUAAAGUGGCCAGAGUUCUGUGCAACACAUCACGCAACGUUUCCAGUCUCCACACUUCACUAAAAUGGUAACGUCUGAACUCUCUAAUAACCACCACCACCAGCACAUUAGCAGCAACAAUUCUCCCAUGGCGAAGCCCAAUUCCCGAAACAAAAACUCCUCUAUAUUCCUCUCCGACGGUUGCCUUUUCCUUGGAGGAGCAUUAUCCGCUCUUGUCCUCGUCUGGGGUUUCUCCUCCUUCACCACCUUCCCCAACGACACCCUCAACUUCGAAACCCUUUCCCAAAACGACGCCGCGUCGUCCCGCACUCCCGACUUAACUUUCGACCCUCCAGACAAAACCUUCUUCGACGACCCGCAAAUGGGGUACACCAUGGACAAGAAAGUCCGGAACUGGGAUGAGAAGCGCAGGGAGUGGCUCAAACUCCACCCUUCGUUUUCCGCCGGAGCACGAGAAAGGGUUUUGAUGAUCACCGGGUCGCAGCCGGAGCCGUGCCGGAACCCUAUCGGCGACCACCUCCUCCUGCGGUUUUUUAAGAACAAGGUGGACUACUGUCGGCUACACGGGUACGAUAUUUUGUACAACAACGCACUCUUAGACCCCAAGAUGUUCGCGUAUUGGGCCAAGUACCCUGUGGUGCGGGCCGCGAUGAUGGCCCACCCGGAGGCCGAGUGGAUCUGGUGGGUUGACUCGGACGCGUUGUUCACCGACAUGGAGUUCAAGCUCCCUCUGGAGCGUUACAAGGGGCACAACCUUGUCGUUCACGGGUGGCCCCACCUGAUUCACGAGAAAAGAAGUUGGACGGGCCUGAACGCCGGCGUCUUCUUGAUCCGAAACUGUCAGUGGUCUUUGGACUUCAUGGACUCGUGGGCCAGCAUGGGCCCGCAGACGCCCAAUUACGAGAAAUGGGGAAAGACGCUGCGGUCAACUUUCAAGGACAAGUUCUUCCCGGAGUCAGACGAUCAGACGGGCCUGGCGUAUCUGAUCGCGAUCGAGAAGAAUAAAUGGGCGGACAGGAUUUACCUGGAGAGCGAUUACUACUUCGAAGGUUACUGGAAGGAGAUCGUGGGAACGCUGCAGAACAUCAGCGAGAAAUACACGGAGAUGGAGAAAGGGGUGCGCAGGUUAAGGAGGCGCCACGCCGAGAAGGUGAGCGAGAGUUACGGUGACACGAGGGAGGAGUAUUUGAAGGGUGCCGGAUUCAGUACAGGGAGCUCGCGGAGACCCUUCAUCACGCACUUCACCGGUUGCCAACCCUGCAGCGGAAAGUACAAUGCCAUGUAUUCCGCCGACGAUUGCUGGAACGGAAUGCACAAAGCUCUCAAUUUCGCCGAUAAUCAGGUCCUGCGCAAUUACGGUUUCCGGCGCCCCGAUCUACUCCUUAACUCCGUUUCCCCUCUCCCUUUUGGUUAUCCUCAUCCAUGACAUCAUCAUCAUGACGAUUAUGACCAUGACCCCAGAGUUACAUAGGCAUAACAGUAGUGAAACGUGAAUGAAGACAAAUAGGAAGUGGUGAAGAAAUGAAGGAAGUUGAGUUUGUGCACACUGACAAGAUUUGAAUAUGUGUGAAGGACCCAGUGAGGUUGGAUACAUUUUACUGCGGACAUGGAUAGAUGAUGGGCAUGAGCAUGUGCAUGUGCAUGAGUACAGAGCUUUCUUUCAUCGAUCUGUAUUAUUAUCGGGAUUGUGGGGUCACACUCAACACUUAUACCAUUUAGUACCAUACCCACCCAUGUUAAUAUAUAUAUUAGUUACUGUGGUGACGGACUUUUUUGCCUGUUUUUCUUUCCCUCUCUUUUUCUCACCAGGCUAGUGGCUGCACGUGUUACAUAUAUACAAGUAUAGCAAAAUAACGGUGUUAAGCUCUGUGACCUUGUUAUGGCAGAUGUUUUAGUGUACCCAAAAUCAAGAUGGCCCAAUAAGCCAUGGACUGUGGCGUGCAUUUUUGGAA